GUAUGCUUACACAUGCAAGUCGAACGGAACUUCGGGUUUAGUGGCGGACGGGUGAGUAACGCGUGAGAAUCUGCCUCUAGGUCGGGGACAACAACUGGAAACGGUUGCUAAUACCCGAUGUGCAGCAAUGUGAAAGAUUUAUUGCCUAGAGAUGAGCUCGCGUCUGAUUAGCUAGUAGGUGUGGUAAUGGCGCACCUAGGCGACGAUCAGUAACUGGUCUGAGAGGAUGACCAGUCACACUGGGACUGAGACACGGCCCAGACUCCUACGGGAGGCAGCAGUGGGGAAUUUUCCGCAGUGGGCGAAAGCCUGACGGAGCAAUACCGCGUGAGGGACGAAGGCUUUUGGGUCGUAAACCUCUUUUCCCUGAGAAGAAGAUCUGACGGUAUCAGGGGAAUCAGGAUCGGCUAACUUCGUGCCAGCAGCCGCGGUAAUACGAGGGAUGCAAGCGUUAUCCGGAAUUAUUGGGCGUAAAGCGUCCGCAGGUGGCUCUGUAAGUCUGUCGUUAAAGAAUGGGGCUCAACCCCAUACAGGC
rnacentral:rRNA from 1 species